ensembl:lncRNA
GCCGUCUACACCUGCGGACUCCUCAGCCAAAGAGCUCUACUGCAGACUGUUGGGUCAUUGCCAAAUCAAGGGUUGCAACACAAACCGGGUCACCGCGGCGAUUGACCCCGCUGAGGAGCCAGAGGAGAGGCUGGAGACGGACCCGGACACAAAGCAGGCGCCGACAGAGGAACCCAACGGAAGCACUGACAAAUGAGAGGAUGAAAAUCAUCAUAGCAACGCAAGUUAAGCUCCACUCAAAAUUGGCCUGUCCGGGGGUGAAGGAGGGCUUGUCAGCUGCAGGAGGAGGCGACGAUGCACUGUCCAUCAAUCCGUGUGUCGUCUGGGCCUCGCCCCCCCCACACACACACACACACAAAAUACACAGCCUCCAGAAAAGAUCCAGCACUAAUCACCACAUUGCAGGAACCUUAUUAAAAAAAUACUCAUUGAAAUACAGCGUUGUGUUGUUGAGUACCUGUGUUGCCUUUAUGUUCCUUUCCAGCCUUUUGUUUAGAUCUUUUUUUAAAGCCCCCCUGUGGCGUACUUGCAUUGCCUUUGUUUGGUUUUCACAGUCCCUAUAUGUUCAUUCUCCUCCUCCUCCUCAUCCUCCAAUGCAGCGUUCACACACCUCUGGUCAGGGAUGAUGGUUGCAACGCUCUCUUUCAAACGCUUCCAACUCUGCUGCAGGCCGAAGCAGGAGCCCUUAAAGAUAGUCAGCUUAGGUUUCAGCCGUCGGUACCUCGCAGCUCUCAGACUAGAUAGUACCGUACGCUGUGCAUAUCAGAGGCACCGAGUACUUUACACAGCAAAAUAAUGAAACGAUGCCAGGAGUUCCGGCCCUCUGCAGUCCACCAGGGGGCGUGCGCGAAUGGCAAAGCAGUUCCCUCGGCCGCCACCAGGGAGCAGAAGUGAUCUUCCCAGAUCGCCAGGAGACGAGGACAUUUAAUCUGAAAUAUAGGUUGUAAGUUUAUUACCAGCUAGUGAAUAGAGCUGGAAUGGAAUAACCAUUUCACAAAGCCAUAUCAAAAAAAUACCAAUCUCGGAGGCAGCGGGAAAUUACAUGAAAAUAUUACCAUUACACAAAUGGAAAGUAUGAUUGAAUAAUGUGCUGCAGAAGA